ensembl:snoRNA
CUGGUGCUGAAGAAAGGCUUGCAGUUUUCUGAAGCUGUUGGUUUCAAGCAGGAGUCUAUAAUGGUAGCUUUCUAUCGCUUGUUGGCCAUUUCAGAACUUUAGAAAUGUAAUGGUCAUUUCACUAGAAGGAAACAACA